GGUCCCAUAGUGUAAGGGGCAGGACUCAGGAGUUUAAAUCCUGCGAGCUGAGUUCAAAUCUCAGUGGGCCCU
rnacentral:tRNA from 1 species